rnacentral:rRNA from 1 species
UGGGGAAUAUUGCACAAUGGACGGAAGUUUGAUGCAGCGACGCCGCGUGGAGGGUGUAGGCCUUCGGGUUGUGAACUCCUUUUUCUCGCGAAAAAGGCACAGUUUUGGCUGUGUUGAUGGUAGUGGGGGAAGAAGCGCCGGCUAACUACGUGCCAGCAGCCGCGGUAAUACGUAGGGGGCUAGCGUUGUCCGGAAUCACUGGGCGUAAAGGGUUCGCAGGCGGAAAUGCAAGUCAGGUGUAAAAGGCAGUAGCUUAACUACUGUAAGCAUUUGAAACUGCAUAUCUUGAGAAGAGUAGAGGUAAGUGGAAUUUUAAGUGUAGCGGUGAAAUGCGUAGAUAUUAAAAAGAAUACCGGUGGCGAAGGCGACUUACUGGGCUCAUUCUGACGCUGAGGAACGAAAGCGUGGGUAGCAAACAGG